CUGACCUGAUGUCCUUCUACCAUGAGAUGACUGGACAUACAAGGGGAGAGCAGUGGUUAUUGUUUGCUUGAACUUUAGGAAGGGUCUAGUUGUCCCUGCUUUGAGCAGGGGAGGUGGAUUAGUUGUAAAUGUCCCUUACAACUUCAAUUACUCCGUGAUUCAAUCCUUCUUAUGACCAUAUAUAUUCUGGUUUGGAGGUACCCAAUCCCUGAUUGUGAAAUAAAUCUGAGCAAAACCAAGGACUGUAAUGAACUUCCUCAGUUUUCAGCAUUAUUUCCUUUACUUUUCUAUGUCCUGUUUUUCCUUCAUUUAUUGUGGAGAACAGUUAUAUGGACAUAAACCACUUUUCCCACUGUUCCUUAAGGUAUCCCACCUCAUUGACACCAUCAAAUUGAAACACAAGAUUCCAUUUAAACAUACAAAAAGAUUUUCUCCUGUGAGGGAGGUAAAACACUGGAUCAGGUUGUGCAGGAAUAUUGUGUAGUCUCCUGCCUUAUUGAUAUUCUGAACGAAAAUGGACACAGUCCUAAGCAACCUGCUGUAGUUGACAUUGCCUUGAACAAAGGAACUGGACUAGAAGUCCUUCAGGUAUUCCUUUCAUCUUCAUCUAUUCUAGGAUUCUAGGAUUCUGCUGGCUUUCCAACAGCACAAAACACUGUCAUUCCCACUCAACAGUAAGAGGACAGUCAUCUAGUACACUGGCAUCAGGAAGAAUAAUCAGAGUCAUAAAAUCAUAGAAUCAUAGAAUGGUUUGGCUUAGAAAGGACCUUUAAAAAUCAUCUAGUCCAACCUUCCUUGCCAUGGGCAGGGACAUCUUUCACUAGAUCAGAUUGCUCAAAACCCCAUCUGACCUGACCUCGAACACCUCCAGUAACCAGCUGGGUUAAGCACUUCUUAGGACACCUUUAGUAGCACCUACAUGGUAUGUUUUUUUCUCUUUCUGUUUAAAUUGCAUGAUACUUUCUGUAACUGCAGACUGUACAAGUCACAGCUAUUGCAUGGAGGCACAGAUGUUAAAGGCAGAGUAUCAGCUUCUCCUUCUGUUUUAUUUUUUCCACAAGCCCUAGUGUGAUUUUAAAUUUAAAUUUUCAAAGUUUAUAAUCCUCAUCUCCUCUAAGAUAUUCUCUUGAUGAACAUGAACAGGGAAGGAUCCUAUCUAUGACUGAUGACAAAAGUCUUUGGUAGCCACUAAAUUGCCUUUGGGCAGACAAGGUGCAAUUUCCAGUUUACAAAACUGGAAAUUAACAGUUAUAUGUGUGUAUAUACAUACAUAUACAGUUAUAUAUAUAUACAUAACUGCCUUCCUUACAAAUCUAAGCACCUUUCAGAAAUUCAUUAGGCAGCAUUGUAAAACCUCUCUGAUGUGCCUUAGGUGAGGAAUGCAGUAAAGAAACAUGGAAAAAAGAGGCAUGUCUGUUAUGACCAAUAAUAUAUAAUAGUAGCAGAGAGCAAAGGCAAGGACUGGGAGAAUGAAGAACUGCCACUUUAGGAGAAAAUCAGGUUUGAGGUCAUCUAAGAAACUUGAAAGUGCACAAAUCUAUGGGACCUGGUGAGAUGCAUCCGUGGGUCCUGAGGGAACUGGUGGGUGAAGUUCCUAAGGCACUGGCCAUCAUAUUUGAAGUUCCCACUGACUGGAAAAGGGGAAACCUAACCCCCAUUUUUAAAAAGGGAAAAAGGAAGAUCUGGGUAACUGCAAGCUGGUCAGACACACCUCAGUGUCCAGCAAGGUCAUGGAGCAGAUCCUCCUGGAGACUAUGCUAAGGCACAUGGACAAUACGGAGGGGAUGAGUGACAGCCAACACAGUGUCACUAAGUGCAAAUUGUGCCUGACAAAUGUGGUGAUCUUACACGACAGGGACUCCUGAAGGCUGCUUCUCUGUGUUCUUUGUCACCAGGGUGCUGGUAGCAGUGGACCCGUGUUUUCCUUAGUCAGUCUCCUGUUGCUGCUGAUGCCACUGCAGAAGGCUCUCUUGUUGCACUUCACAGUUCUUGCCAGAUUUGACUCCAGAUGGAGAUGUAUCACACCAGUUCCUAUCCCUCCUGUCGGUGGGGUAGCAGGGUGCCUUGGUGUGUCACCCUUUCUACUUUAAGAACCGCAGCUUCCCGUGCCUAUUUGUGGCAGGUAUAUUUAGUGCAGUUCAGACCCUAUAUAUGCCUGCAGCAUAUUUAGAACGGGCUGUUUGGUCAGUGUGCGCUGUUGCCAGUUUGCUUGCUGGCGUGCAGGAGCAGAGUGUAUUGGUAGGAUAUCUUGUUGCCUCCCAGCGUGCAUUGGCUGUGGAUGAUAAACUUCAUUUGUCUAAGGCAAAAAGAAGGUCAGACCUUCUGCAUUUGUGUUUUUCUUGUUGGAAUCAUCAGAUCUUACUCCACAUCCUGCCCCUCUGUGACAGCCCAGAGCCUGACCCCAUGCUCCCGAGGCAAGCACUCAGGUACAGGUGGGGGAUUGCUGGACAGUCCCAUUCCCCUGCAGACUCCUCCCAGCUCCCUGCUGCUGGGCAGAAGAGUCCAGUGGAGUCGAUAGCUUGUGGGUGAGACUCGACUCUGCUGAUCUCAGAGCCUUUCCUUCCUGAACAAACAUUUUCCAUUCUGAAAUAAUCACCUCACUAUAUAUAGAAAGCUCCUCCAAAGCGAAACCCAUGUUCUUUGGGAAGGGAUAUUCCUCAAAUUGUUUUCUUCCUUUUAAAAGCUCCAACAGGCCCUUUGCCAUCAAGCUUGUACAUGUUUGUGAAUUCUGCUGAUCAGAAGCAUGUGUUCACCUCACAUGAAAAUAAUCUGGAUUCCCGAUGCAGCUUCUGUGCUCCCCACCCCCACUGCACGGGUCCUGAGGCUGUCUGCAAUCACAAUCCACAGGAUUUCGGAAACCACCUCCCCAUCUCACUUCCUCCCAGCUGAUUUUCAGGGGAAUAGAAGGAGACUUGUUUGCUAGCAGGGGGGAAGUCCAGGCCUUGGUGAGCAGCUUUCUAAGAGGCACCUAUGAGAAUGGUGCGCUUCAGUCAGCGUUAAGUUUGCAGAGGCUGCUGCCAAAUGAGGUCACCCUGGUGCAGAAACGUGGACGAAGAGCUUCCAGAAGAGGAGGAUGGAAGAAGCCAGGACAGGAAGUAGAGCCGUCAGUAGCACAGGGCUCAGCUCAGUCAACUCCCUGCUCUGGAAAUGCUGAUUUCAGUUUUGUCUUGGCUCACAAACUAAAAUGGAUUAAAUGGUUUCAUUGUCAUCUUCCUAUUUCUCGUCAUAAAAAUCAUUCUUUGGUUUGACACAGUUUAGUUGUCUCUCUGGAAGGUGUCUGCUGGGGCAAGCAGCAUACACAGGGCAGUUCAGCCACGAGGUCUGGGUGCCUUUUGGGAAUCACAAAGCUCAAAGAACCUCAAGGAGAGACUCCUUUUCAAACCAUGUAACAUCUGCUGAGCUAGCACAUCUCUUGAGAAAGGCAGAACACCACAAUACCAGCUUGGAGUGGGUCUUGCCAGGGACAGCAAGGAUCAUCUGGUCCAAUCUCUCUUGGGAAAGAGACAAGACGGCCCAGCACCCUGUUCAGCCAAAGAUGGACAACCUGGACUGCUAGGGACCUCUUAUGCCUUUUUCUUAGUUAUUCUAGUGAUUAAUUCCUCCUUCAGUUGAACUGUUGCUCUUUACUUUAGUUUGUAUAAUGGCCAUUCCACCCCAGUGCUCCUGUUUGUUUGCUAGAUUGAAACAUUACACACAGUGGAAAAAAAAUUCUUUCUUACAGACCCUUAGAAAUCACUUGUAUUUUUAAUUUUUCUGAAGUUCUCCAUGUGGAAACUUGUUCUGCUGAUGUUGACUCCUUCUUAUGACUCUGACUGCUUCGAGUUUUCUGCAGUCUUUAUAAAUAUUGAACAUCAAAUUAGCAUCACUAAAGCUGCAGUAAUAUAA